rnacentral:rRNA from 1 species
UGGGGAAUUUUGGACAAUGGGGGAAACCCUGAUCCAGCCAUCCCGCGUGUGCGAUGAAGGCCUUCGGGUUGUAAAGCACUUUUGGCAGGAAAGAAACGUCGCGGGUUAAUACCCCGCGAAACUGACGGUACCUGCAGAAUAAGCACCGGCUAACUACGUGCCAGCAGCCGCGGUAAUACGUAGGGUGCAAGCGUUAAUCGGAAUUACUGGGCGUAAAGCGUGCGCAGGCGGUUCGGAAAGAAAGAUGUGAAAUCCCAGAGCUUAACUUUGGAACUGCAUUUUUAACUACCGGGCUAGAGUGUGUCAGAGGGAGGUGGAAUUCCGCGUGUAGCAGUGAAAUGCGUAGAUAUGCGGAGGAACACCGAUGGCGAAGGCAGCCUCCUGGGAUAACACUGACGCUCAUGCACGAAAGCGUGGGGAGCAAACAGGAUUAGAUACCCUGGUAGUCCACGCCCUAAACGAUGUCAACUAGCUGUUGGGGCCUUCGGGCCUUGGUAGCGCAGCUAACGCGUGAAGUUGACCGCCUGGGGAGUACGGUCGGC